CCUGCGUCCAGCUAUUGGUUCCGACCGGUCGGCAGACUCGAGCCUCCCCCCGGCUCUGGCCGGGACUCCGCCGGCCGGGAGGGCUGCGGGCCUGGCUGCCUCGACGCCACGGCGGCCGGAGAGUGCCGCAAACCCGGCCGUUUCCUCCGCGGCGGGUCCCCCCGCUCCGCCGCGAGAGCCCGAGCGCGCCAGGCUGGGAGGGACUUCCGCCGCCCUGCGCUAUCCUGGGCUGCGGAGGGUGUCCCGGGAGGCGGCGCCCCGGGCCGUGGCCGAGAAGGGCUUGCUUUCUAUUCCUGCGCUCCAGGGCCCAAGGCCCAGGCCGCACGGCCCUCUCGAGACCAGCCCUCGGGUGCUCCUGUGGGUGCAUCGCUUCCUGGGACAAGACCCGGGCCUGGGCAGGAGAGGACGCGGCUCCCUCGCUUUUUCUGCCGGCUCCGGACCAGCCCCCCGACUCCCCUCCAGUAUUGAUGGGAAAGGGGCGCCGAGCCAUGCCCUGUCCCGCUCCACUGCGGGACCCCGGGCCGCAGAUUCGCUCCCGUGAGUUUGGGGCAGAGACUCAAGCGCCGCGCUCCACCGGCCCGGACGUGGCACCGCGCCUCGGCUCCCGGGAACCGGACGCGCCCAGAGGCAGAGAGAAUGCAUCUCUCUCUCCCGUUUACCUGUCCUAAUGAUGGAUACUUAGGAUGCCACUGAGUCCUCUGUUGUAGCCAACAACACUCCUCUGUCCCCUCGUGGAGUCCAGACUGAGUUGCUCUGAGGCACGUGGCCAGGAGGUGAUGAUAUAAGGCAAGGUGACAAAAGCAAGGCCUACCUAGAGAGCUUCAGGGAUUUACACAGAGUUACACAGGUUAAGAGAAUGGACUCAGGCUCCAGUUCCAGCCAUCCGACUCCAGAGUCGGGCUUAACCACUGACGCACCGAGGAGGACAUGGCACCAUUCACGUGGCAUCCCUUUCCCAAAGGUAGAAAUGGAAUUGAAUCAUAAGAAACCUGUCAGACAUCCCAACUCUUCCAAAAAGUCAAUAUUAUGAAAGGCAAAAGAAGUUGAGAAGAACUUUUCCAGAAUGAAAAACCACAACCCAUAAUUCUGGAUCGGUAUCGGACCUGAGAAAAAAACUGCUACAGAAGACGGCGGGGGAAAAAGGGCAAAAUUAGAACAAGGACCAUAUAUUAGAUUAUAGUGUGUAUCAAUGACAUGUCUUUAAUUUGGUAGUUAAGAAAAUGUCCUCGUUCUUAAGAGAUAUGUGCUGAAGUAUUUAGGGAUGAAGUGUGAUAAUGUCUGAAACUUAUCCUCAAAUAGUUCAGAAAAAAAAGAAUACUAAAAUGAUUUACAUCGUGUGCGUGUGUAAGAAAGAGACAAUACAGCAAAUGUAGUAAAAUAUUAGUGAAUCUUGGUAAAGGGCAUUUGGGAGUUUAUUAUACUAUUUUAAUUUCUCUGUAUGUUUAAUAUUUUCAAAAUAAGGUAGCUAAACGGAAGUUACUAAAGUAACACAGCCUGGCACUAAUUUAGAUUCUGAGUGAUGCUAUUCCACACCUUUGCAGGACAGUGGGUCCCAAAGGCAGCACAACCCCAGGCCGUUAGUGAGACCCCAUGUCAAGGUCCUUGCCCAUCCUCUGGCUUCACUGAGGUCCCCGAGCUUCUGCUUUCUCGUCCACUCUCAGAAUCUUCCUGCACAGGGCUGGGGGCGGGGCCUGGGGGGAGGGGCAGAUAGGAAGUCAUGGCCAAGGUGUGGGGAAGUCUGUCCUUCCCUCAGCCCCAAGCAUUGUAUCUUUGGAAAGUCUGGACAGAUUUGUCCACAUGUAUUAAGUGGUUUGUGCUGAGGGAUUUGCAAACAGAAAAGGUACUGAUUGAGAAGCAGGAAUGUUCUUCUGGCUCAUUCUCCUGCCUCUUGGCAAUGCCUGCGCCUCCGAGCACCAGGGAAGUGCUACACAGACCCGCCGAGGCAUCACUCAGCCCUGGGGAAGCCAGCCUGAGUGUCAACACUCUGGCAGAGAGAAGUGCUAAAAUGCAUAUUUGAAGAUGUCUGAGCAGACUUGUUUGAGAGACAACUGGAGUUGUGAAGUAAUCCUGAUGUCUCCCCAUGUCUCGGUUUUGAAGGCAGAGUUUGCCUGCAGGCCUCUGACCUCUAAUGUCUUUCUAUUAUUGUUAGCAUUUGAUAGAACUUUGCGUAAAACUUGAGAUGACAGAAGUCAACACAGAGAGGGGCUUACAAUUGCUGCUGGAAGGGCUACUCGGAGAUCCUCUCAGGGACAGAAGUCAGUUCAGCUCGGGAUCCUCUGGGCCUAAUGCCUGGGCCAGUGAUGCUGUAUCAGGUACAGACCAUUUCCUCCAUGAACUGACCUCCUCUGGCCCCAGUGGCCCCUGCGAGCCGAGGCCUUCAGCCCCAGUGGGCAAUACCAACCCACAGGGAGAGUUACACGCUCUUGCUCAGAUCUUCCUCCAGAGUAUAAGCGAGGGCUCAAGAGCCAGUGGGCUGAGGCCCGGCAGAAUGAGUCACAGUGGAGACUAAAGUUGCAGGGAGCACAAGAAUAAAUCAGAAUAACUCUGGGCCCAGUCUGGGUCAGUAUUCACCCCUGACCCAGGGGUGAAUUCUUGUGAUUUAUUCAGAGCAGGCUGCUUUGGGUGGGUUUCCAGCCACUGCCAUUAAAUAGAACUGAUGAAGACAACUGCCAGUAGCCUUGGGAUGCCGGUUUGCCCCUCACCUCUCCUCAUUGGAAGGUGUAUGGCUCAAGGAGUUGUCCAGCUGGAUCAAAGGGCGGGUUCUUCCCAAAUGAGAGCAGAGAACAUUCUUCCACAAUGAUUCUCCUGUGAACAACCAGAAUUGGUGGUGGUGGCAGCCGACUGCCCCUCCCUUCCCCCACCACCCACUACCACCCCUGAGGGAGAACUGGUGACAUAUUACCGGGACCCAUCAUGCAUCCUGUGCAGGGUGGCAAAGAAUCCUACAGAAUAUUCCACAGGCAGACUCCAACCUGGCAUGUACACCAUAAUUUGCCCUUUCGGUAAGGACAGAUACCAAUAUUUCACUAUCUCUGGAUGAUCCUGGAACCAGACAGACUUACCACCGAAUGGAAAAUUCUGGAAGUUAAAAAUGAUUCUCGAUUUCAUGAGGGGAGGCAGGUAGUAGGGCUGUAGGGCCUGAGGCAGGCCAGCAUGAGUCUUGGGCACCUCUUCUCACCCCUGUACUCAGGACUCUAACGACAUCACCUCCACCCAGAGGCCAGAGUUUCCUUUCCUGCGUUCCCAGUCUGCUUGGAGGAGCCCCUGUAGUAGGUCUUUAACUUCUCUUUCUUCCAUGAUCACUUGGUGACGUCUCCCUAGGGCGGGGAUGGAGGCUGCCGCAGAGCACAGGCAGAUUGAAGGCUCACGGUGGGGAGGACAGCAGAAUGUUUCCUAUUUGGUCUUACUAUUCAUUGAAAAUAUCACUGGCGUGUGUUAAGGCAGAAGCAUAUAACUGCUCCCUAACAUGACAAAAGGGAUGAUUCAGAAUUAAGAAUAAAAUACACAGAAAUGCAAA